rnacentral:rRNA from 1 species
AGUGAACGCUGGCGGUAGGCCUAACACAUGCAAGUCGAACGGCUGCACAGUACUUGCUCCUUGUUACAGCGGCCGACUGGCGGACAAGUCCGAGGUACAUCCCAGGCUGUGUGUUCUUGCGUCCGGACACGGGCGCUCUUACCCCAUUCCUCCUGACGACCUACGUGGGAGAUCUUCGGAUCUCACGCCCUCCCAUGAGUGUAUGUCGGAUUAGCUAGUUGGCGGGGUAAAGGCCUACCAAGGCGACGAUCCGUAACUGGUCUGAGAGGAUGAUCAGCCACACUGGAACUGAGACACGGUCCAGACUCCUACGGGAGGCAGCAGUGGGGAAUAUUGGACAAUGGGCGAAAGCCUGAUCCAGCCAUGCCGCGUGUGUGAAGAAGGUCUUCGGAUUGUAAAGCACUUUAAGUUGGAAGGAAGGGCAGUAAGUUAAUACCUUGCUGUUUUGACGUUACCAACAGAAUAAGCACCGGCUAACUUCGUG